UGGUUAAGUGAAUAAGGGCGUACGGUGAAUGCCUUGGCACUAGGAGCCGAUGAAGGACGGGACGAACACCGAUAUGCUUCGGGGAGCUGUAAGUAAGCUUUGAUCCGGAGAUUUCCGAAUGGGGGAACCUCAUUGUUUUUAUCGACAAUGGUCCACUCAGUGAACACAUAGCUGAGUGGAAGGUAGACGUGGUGAACUGAAACAUCUCAGUAGCCACAGGAAGAGAAAGAAAAAUCGAUUUCCCGAGUAGCGGCGAGCGAAACGGAAAGAGGCCAAACCAGCGUGCUUGCAUGCUGGGGUUGUAGGACUGAUGGACGGGAGUGAAUGAGCUAGUCGAACGCCAUGGAAAGGGCGAUCAGAGAGGGUGACAAUCCCGUAGGCGAAAGCUCAGCCACCUCAUUCAGUAUCCUGAGUACGGCGGUACACGUGAAAUUCCGUCGGAAUCCGCCAGGACCAUCUGGCAAGCCUAAAUACUCCCUAGUGACCGAUAGUGAACCAGUACCGUGAGGGAAAGGUGAAAAGCACCCCGGAAGGGGAGUGAAAGAGUACCUGAAACCGUAUGCCUACAAGCAGUCAGAGCCCGUUAAGGGGUGAUGGCGUACUUUUUGUAGAACGGACCGGCGAGUGACGAUAGCAAGCAAGGUUAAGCUGAAGAAGCGGAGCCACAGCGAAAGCGAGUCUGAAGAGGGCGUUGAGUUUGUUGUCGUCGACCCGAAACCAAGUGAUCUACUCAUGUCCAGGCUGAAGGUGUGGUAAAACACACUGGAGGGCCGAACCCACGUCUGUUGAAAAAGGCGGGGAUGAGGUGUGGGUAGCGGUGAAAUUCCAAUCGAACUUGGAGAUAGCUGGUUCUCUCCGAAAUAGCUUUAGGGCUAGCCUCGGAUGAUGACUAUUGGAGGUAGAGCACUGUUUGAUCGAGGGGUCCAUCCUGGAUUACCGACAUCUGAUAAACUCCGAAUGCCAAAUAGUUUAGUCCGGGAGUCAGACUGCGAGUGAUAAGAUCCGUAGUCGAAAGGGAAAGAGCCCAGACCACCAGCUAAGGUCCCAAAGUUUCAGUUAAGUGGAAAAGGAUGUGGGGUUGCUUAGACAACUAGGAUGUUGGCUUAGAAGCAGCCAUCAUUGAAAGAGUGCGUAAUAGCUCACUAGUCGAGUGACCCUGCGCCGAAAAUGUACCGGGGCUAAACUGAACANCAGUAGCCACAGGAAGAGAAAGAAAAAUCGAUUUCCCGAGUAGCGGCGAGCGAAACGGAAAGAGGCCAAACCAGCGUGCUUGCAUGCUGGGGUUGUAGGACUGAUGGACGGGAGUGAAUGAGCUAGUCGAACGCCAUGGAAAGGGCGAUCAGAGAGGGUGACAAUCCCGUAGGCGAAAGCUCAGCCACCUCAUUCAGUAUCCUGAGUACGGCGGUACACGUGAAAUUCCGUCGGAAUCCGCCAGGACCAUCUGGCAAGCCUAAAUACUCCCUAGUGACCGAUAGUGAACCAGUACCGUGAGGGAAAGGUGAAAAGCACCCCGGAAGGGGAGUGAAAGAGUACCUGAAACCGUAUGCCUACAAGCAGUCAGAGCCCGUUAAGGGGUGAUGGCGUACUUUUUGUAGAACGGACCGGCGAGUGACGAUAGCAAGCAAGGUUAAGCUGAAGAAGCGGAGCCACAGCGAAAGCGAGUCUGAAGAGGGCGUUGAGUUUGUUGUUGUCGACCCGAAACCAAGUGAUCUACUCAUGUCCAGGCUGAAGGUGUGGUAAAACACACUGGAGGGCCGAACCCACGUCUGUUGAAAAAGGCGGGGAUGAGGUGUGGGUAGCGGUGAAAUUCCAAUCGAACUUGGAGAUAGCUGGUUCUCUCCGAAAUAGCUUUAGGGCUAGCCUCGGAUGAUGACUAUUGGAGGUAGAGCACUGUUUGAUCGAGGGGUCCAUCCUGGAUUACCGACAUCUGAUAAACUCCGAAUGCCAAAUAGUUUAGUCCGGGAGUCAGACUGCGAGUGAUAAGAUCCGUAGUCGAAAGGGAAAGAGCCCAGACCACCAGCUAAGGUCCCAAAGUUUCAGUUAAGUGGAAAAGGAUGUGGGGUUGCUUAGACAACUAGGAUGUUGGCUUAGAAGCAGCCAUCAUUGAAAGAGUGCGUAAUAGCUCACUAGUCGAGUGACCCUGCGCCGAAAAUGUACCGGGGCUAAACUGAACACCGAAGCUGUGGAUCCAUAGGAUGGUAGGAGAGCGUUCUAUAGGCAGAGAAGCAUGAUCGUGAGGACAUGUGGAGCGUAUAGAAGUGAGAAUGCCGGUAUGAGUAGCGAAAGACGGGUGAGAAUCCCGUCCACCGAAUGACUAAGGUUUCCUGGGGAAGGCUCGUCCUCCCAGGGUUAGUCGGGACCUAAGCCGAGACCGAAAGGGAUAGGCGAUGGACAACAGGUUGAGAUUCCUGUACUUGUUUGAUUUGUUUGAGCGAUGGAAGGACACAGAAGGCUAAGCGGAGCGCGGAGAUGGAAAAACGCGUCCAAGCAAUAAGUGAGA
rnacentral:rRNA from 1 species